rnacentral:rRNA from 1 species
AUUGAACGCUGGCGGAAUGCUUUACACAUGCAAGUCGAACGAUGAACCUUAGCUUGCUAAGGGGAUUAGUGGCGAACGGGUGAGUAAUAUAUCGGAACGUGCCUUGUAAUGGGGGAUAACUAGUCGAAAGAUUAGCUAAUACCGCAUACGCCCGGAGGGGGAAAGUAGGGGAUCUUCGGACCUUACGUUAUAAGAGCGGCCGAUAUCUGAUUAGCUAGUUGGUGGGGUAAUGGCCUACCAAGGCGACGAUCAGUAGCUGGUCUGAGAGGACGACCAGCCACACUGGAACUGAGACACGGUCCAGACUCCUACGGGAGGCAGCAGUGGGGAAUUUUGGACAAUGGGCGCAAGCCUGAUCCAGCCAUUCCGCGUGAGUGAAGAAGGCCUUCGGGUUGUAAAGCUCUUUCGCAAGGGAAGAAAACUUACCAUCGAAUAAAUGGUGAGGCUGACGGUACCUUGAUAAGAAGCACCGGCUAACUACGUG